rnacentral:rRNA from 1 species
UUUUAAGGUUAAGCUAUAAAGAGCAUAGGGUGGAUGCCUAGGCACUGAGAGCCGAUGAAAGACGUGAUAAGCUGCGAUAAGCUGCGGUAAGGAGCAAAUAUCCAUUGACCCGCAGAUUUCUGAAUGGGGAAACCUACGCAAGAAGACCUUGCGUACUCAUACAUGAAUACAUAGUGUAUGAGAGGGAACCCGGGGAACUGAAACAUCUAAGUACCCGGAGGAAGAGAAAGAAACAUCGAUUUCCUGAGUAGCGGCGAGCGAAAGGGAAAGAGCCCAAACCAGAGGAUUUAUCC